UCCCUGUUACCAGGGCAGUCUAGCUAGAGAAAUUCAACUAACUAUAAGGGUUGCGCUCGUUAAUGGACUUAACCAAACAUCUCACGACACGAGCUGACGACGGCCAUGCAACACCUGUCACUGCGGCCCGAAGGCACAGUCUCCUUUCGGAGACCUUGGCAGGAUGUCAAACCCUGGUAAGGUUCUUCGCUUAUCGUCGAAUUAAACAACACGCUCCACCGCUUGUGCGGGUCCCCGUCAAUUCCUUUAUGUUUUAGCCUUGCGGCCGUACUCCACAGGCGGGAUGCUUAACGCGUUAGCUUCGCUACUACCAGGGUCGAUACUGAUAACAGCUAGCAUCCAUAGUUUACGGCGUGGACUAC
rnacentral:misc_RNA from 1 species